rnacentral:rRNA from 1 species
UACGUAGGUGGCAAGCGUUACUCGGAAUUACUAGGCGUAAAGCGCGUGUAGAUGGUUCGAUAAGUCGGACGUGAAAUCUUUCGGCUUAACCGGGAGGGGUCGUUCGAAACUAUCGGACUUGAGUGUGGGAGGGGAAUCUGGAAUUCCUGGUGUAGCGGUGAAAUGCGUAGAUAUCAGGAGGAAUACCAAUGGCGAAUGCAGGAUUCUGGCCCAAUACUGACAUUGAGACGCGACAGCUAGGGGAGCAAAC